rnacentral:rRNA from 1 species
GACGAACGCUGGCGGCGUGCUUAACACAUGCAAGUCGAACGGUAAGGCCCUUCGGGGUACACGAGUGGCGAACGGGUGAGUAACACGUGGGUGAUCUGCCCUGCACUUCGGGAUAAGCCUGGGCAACUGGGUCUAAUACCGGAUAGGACCACUGCCUGAAUGUGUGGGGGUGGAAAGGUUUUGCGGUGUGGGAUGGGCCCGCGGCCUAUCAGCUUGUUGGUGGGGUGAUGGCCUACCAAGGCGACGACGGGUAGCCGGCCUGAGAGGGUGACCGGCCACACUGGGACUGAGAUACGGCCCAGACUCCUACGGGAGGCAGCAGUGGGGAAUAUUGCACAAUGGGCGCAAGCCUGAUGCAGCGACGCCGCGUGAGGGAUGACGGCCUUCGGGUUGUAAACCUCUUUCAGCACCGACGAAGCGCAAGUGACGGUAGGUGCAGAAGAAGGACCGGCCAACUACGUGCCAGCCGCCGCCGUAA